GACGAACGCUGGCGGCGUGCUUAACACAUGCAAGUCGAGCGGUAAGGCCCUUUCGGGGGUACACGAGCGGCGAACGGGUGAGUAACACGUGGGUGACCUGCCCUCAGCUCUGGGAUAAGCCUGGGAAACCGGGUCUAAUACUGGAUAUGACUCCAUGACGCAUGUUGUGGGGUGGAAAGCCUUGUGCGGCUGAGGAUGGGGCCCGCGGCCUAUCG
rnacentral:rRNA from 1 species